rnacentral:rRNA from 1 species
UGACCUCGGAUCAGGUAGGGAUACCCGCUGAACUUAAGCAUAUCAAUAAGCGGAGGAAAGAUCGUG